rnacentral:rRNA from 1 species
ACGGGUGAGUAACGCGUGGGUAACCUACCCUGUACACACGGAUAACAUACCGAAAGGUAUGCUAAUACGGGAUAAUAUAUUUGAGAGGCAUCUCUUGAAUAUCAAAGGUGAGCCAGUACAGGAUGGACCCGCGUCUGAUUAGCUAGUUGGUAAGGUAAAGGCUUACCAAGGCGACGAUCAGUAGCCGACCUGAGAGGGUGAUCGGCCACAUUGGAACUGAGACACGGUCCAAACUCCUACGGGAGGCAGCAGUGGGGAAUAUUGCACAAUGGGCGAAAGCCUGAUGCAGCAACGCCGCGUGAGUGAUGAAGGCCUUCGGGUCGUAAAACUCUGUCCUCAAGGAAGAUAAUGACGGUACUUGAGGAGGAAGCCCCGGCUAACUACGUGCCAGCAGCCGCGGUAAUACGUAGGGGGCUAGCGUUAUCCGGAUUUACUGGGCGUAAAGGGUGCGUAGGCGGUCUUUCAAGUCAGGAGUGAAAGGCUACGGCUCAACCGUAGUAAGCUCUUGAAACUGGGAGACUUGAGUGCAGGAGAGGAGAGUGGAAUUCCUAGUGUAGCGGUGAAAUGCGUAGAUAUUAGGAGGAACACCAGUUGCGAAGGCGGCUCUCUGGACCGUAACUGACGCUGAGGCACGAAAGCGUGGGGAGCAAACAGGAUUAGAUACCCUGGUAGUCCACGCUGUAAACGAUGAGUACUAGGUGUCGGGGGUUACCCCCUUCGGUGCCGCAGCUAACG